rnacentral:rRNA from 1 species
CUACGGGGUGCACCAGUGAGGAAUAUUGCACAAUGGGGGAAACCCUGAUGCAGCAACGCCGCGUGGAGGAUGACGCAUUUCGGUGUGUAAACUCCUUUUAUCAGAGAAGAAAAUGACGGUAUCUGAUGAAUAAGCUCCGGCUAACUCCGUGCCAGCAGCCGCGGUAAUACGGAGGGAGCAAGCGUUAUUCGGAAUCACUGGGCGUAAAGGACGCGUAGGCGGGUUUUUAAGUCAGGUGUGAAAUCCUAUGGCUCAACCAUAGAACUGCACUUGAAACUGGGGACCUAGAGUAUGGAGGGGCAGGUGGAAUUAGUGGUGUAGGGGUAAAAUCCGUAGAUAUCACUAGGAAUACCGAAAGCGAAGGCGACCUGCUGGGACAUUACUGACGCUGAGGCGUGAAAGCGUGGGGAGCAAACAGGAUUAGAUACCCUGGUAGUC